UACGUAGGGAGCAAGCGUUGUUCGGAUUUACUGGGCGUAAAGGGCGCGUAGGCGGUGCGGUAAGUCACUUGUGAAAUCUCUGAGCUUAACUCAGAACGGCCAAGUGAUACUGCAGUGCUAGAGUGCAGAAGGGGCAAUCGGAAUUCUUGGUGUAGCGGUGAAAUGCGUAGAUAUUACAAGGAACACCAAUGGCGAAGGCAGCUUGCUGGGCCUUUUCUGACGCUGAGGUACGAAAGCGUGGGGAGCGAACAGG
rnacentral:rRNA from 1 species